rnacentral:rRNA from 1 species
UGUUCAUCGGCGUAGAGUGAGUCGGCCCCUAAGGCGAGGCAGAGAUGCGUAGUUGAUGGGAAACAGGUCAAUAUUCCUGUACCGAUGUGUAGUGCGAUGUGGGGACGGAGAAGGUUAGCUCAGCCAACUGUUGGAUAUGUUGGUUCAAGCCUGUAGUCGUGCCUGGUAGGUAAAUCCGCCGGGCUUAGAUGAGGGGUGAUAACGAGGCUGCUUGCAGCCGAAGUGAGUGAUACCCUGCUUCCAGGAAAAGCCACUAAGCUUCAGCUACACACGACCGUACCGCAAACCGACACUGGUGCGCGAGAUGAGUAUUCUAAGGCGCUUGAGAGAACUCAGGAGAAGGAACUCGGCAAAUUGACACCGUAACUUCGGAAGAAGGUGUGCCUUUAGUAGGUGAAGUCCCUCGCGGAUGGAGCCCAAUGAGGUUGCAAAAAAUCGGUGGCUGCGACUGUUUAUUAAAAACACAGCACUCUGCAAACACGAAAGUGGACGUAUAGGGUGUGACGCCUGCCCGGUGCUGGAAGAUUAAAUGAUGGGGUGCAAGCUCUUGAUUGAAGUCCCAGUAAACGGCGGCCGUAACGAUAACGGUCCUAAGGUAGCGAAAUUCCUUGUCGGGUAAGUUCCGACUUGCACGAAUGGCGUAACGAUGGCCACACUGUCUCCUCCUGAGACUCAGCGAAGUUGAAAUGUUUGUGAUGAUGCAAUCUCCCCGCGGAAGGACGGAAAGACCCCAUGAACCUUUACUGUAGCUUUGUAUUGGACUUUGAACAGAUCUGUGUAGGAUAGGUGGGAGGCUUUGAAGCAGGGUCGCUAGAUCUUGUGGAGCCAACGUUGAAAUACCACCCUGGUGUGUUUGAGGUUCUAACCUAGGUCCAUUAUCUGGAUCGGGGACAGUGCAUGGUAGGCAGUUUGACUGGGGCGGUCUCCUCCCAAAGUGUAACGGAGGAGUUCGAAGGUACGCUAGGUACGGUCGGACAUCGUGCUAAUAGUGCAAUGGCAUAAGCGUGCUUAACUGCGAGACUGACAAGUCGAGCAGAUGCGAAAGCAGGACAUAGUGAUCCGGUGGUUCUGUAUGGAAGGGCCAUCGCUCAACGGAUAAAAGGUACUCUGGGGAUAACAGGCUGAUACCGCCCGAGAGUUCAUAUCGACGGCGGUGUUUGGCACCUCGAUGUCGGCUCAUCUCAUCCUGGGGCUGUAGCCGGUCCCAAGGGUAUGGCUGUUCGCCAUUUAAAGAGGUACGUGAGCUGGGUUUAAAACGUCGUGAGACAGUUUGGUCCCUAUCUUCCGUGGGCGCUGCAGAUUUGAGGAAGCCUGCUCCUAGUACGAGAGGACCGGAGUGGACACACCUCUGGUGUAUCGGUUGUCACGCCAGUGGCAUUGCCGAGUAGCUAAGUGUGGAAGAGAUAACCGCUGAAAGCAUCUAAGCGGGAAACUCGUUUCAAGAUGAGAUCUGCCGGGGCCUUGAGCCCCCUGAAGAGUCGUUCAAGACCAGGACGUUGAUAGGUCGGGUGUGGAAGCGCAGUAAUGCGUUAAGCUAACCGAUACUAAUUGCUCGUGCGACUUGAUC